CCUACGGGAGGCAGCAGUGAGGAAUAUUGGUCAAUGGACGAGAGUCUGAACCAGCCAAGUAGCGUGAAGGAUGACUGCCCUAUGGGUUGUAAACUUCUUUUAUAUGGGAAUAAAACGUUCCACGUGUGGGAUUUUGUAUGUACCAUAUGAAUAAGGAUCGGCUAACUUCGUACCAGCCGCCGCGGUAAUACGGAGGAACCGAGCGUUAUCCGGAUUUAUUGGGUUUAAAGGGAGCGGUGGUGGAUUGUUAAGUCAGUUGUGAAAGUUUGCGGCUCAACCGUAAAAUUGCAGUUGAAACUGGCAGUCUUGAGUACAGUAGAGGUGGGCGGAAUGCGUGGUGUAGCGGUGAAAUGCUUAGAUAUCACGAAGAACUCCGAUUGCGAAGGCAGUUCACUGGACUGCAACUGACACUGAGGCUCGAAAGUGUGGGUAUCAAACAGGAUUAGAUACCCCAGUAGUC
rnacentral:rRNA from 1 species